GUGCUUGCUUCUGUAGCACAUGUACCAGAAUUGGAAUGAUACAGAGAUUAGCAAGAAUGACAUGCAAAUUCGUGAAGUAUUCCAUAUUUAA
rnacentral:snRNA from 1 species